rnacentral:rRNA from 1 species
UACGGAGGGUGCAAGCGUUAUCCGGAUUCACUGGGCUUAAAGGGUGCGUAGGCGGGUCAGUAAGCGCUUUGUGAAAUCCCACAGCUCAACUGUGGAACCGCAGGGCGAACUGCUGAUCUUGAGGGAGCUAGAGGCUGGUAGAACGAUAGGUGGAGCGGUGGAAUGCGUAGAGAUCUAUCGGAAUGCCGAAAGUGAAGACAGCCAGCUGGGGACUUUCCUGACGCUAAAGCACGAAAGCGUGGGGAGCAAACCGG